UGUGCAAAGGGAGCAUAAUCACUUGUCUUUUAAUUGGAGUCUGGUAUGAAUGGUUUGAUGAAAAAUUUACUUUCUUUAUUUUACUUUACGGAAUUUAAUAUCUGAAUUAGAACGUUUAGAUUUAUUUAUAGGACGAGAAGACCCUAUAGAGCUUGACUUUUUAGUAAUAAUUAUUUGUUGGUAAUAAUUAAUAUUUAUUAGGUCAAAGGUUUUGUUGGGGUGAUAAAAAAAAUUUUUUAACUUUUUUUCUUUUUUUCAUUUAUUUUUGAUGAUUUUGAUCCUUUAUUAUGGAUAUAAGAUUAAGCUACCUUAGGGAUAACAGCGUUAUUGUUUUAGAGAGUUCAUAUUGAUAAAAUAGUUUGCGACCUCGAUGUUGGAUUAAAAUUAGUGCCAGGGGCAGAAUAUUGGUUACUAGGUCUGUUCGACCUUUAAAUUUUUACAUGAUCUGAG
rnacentral:rRNA from 1 species